UAUACACAUACACAUAUAUAUGUAACUGCAUCACCUUUUAAUAUUCUGAUAAGAAAGAAGACAUAGAAAGGGAAGGUCAUACAGCUAGUAAGUGGCAGGACCAGGCCUGGAUCCCAGGUCCUCUGAGUCUACUUUCUGGGUUCUCUCAACUAUACCCUACCUUUGGAUUAGCCAGUGACCUUUUGAGAAGUUUGUAGGCUAUACAAACCACACAAACAUAUUCUAGAGAUAAAACUUGAAAGCUAUAAAAAUGUAAAGAUGAGGAUAUACUCUGGAUUUCUAUGACAUUUCUCUUCCAAAUGUUUUCUCAGUUAUUUUCCUUUUAACUUCCUUGUGAGAUAAAAAGGAAGAGAAAUUAUGAUCACAUUUUAAAACUGUGGAAAUGAGGCUUGCAGAACUGGAAUUAGAAAGUAGCUUUCUGGGUUACAAAUUUGAUUCUAUAGCUUGAGUGAGAUGAAGUGGCAUGCUAGCUGGUCACCUGCUCAGGUAGCCUCUCCACAGGGAUUGCUCAAACCUCAUAGGUAAUUGAACCAUCUCAUGGUACUCUCAUAAUCUUGAUGAAUACACCCUGUUGUUUCUCUGAUAGGUGACCACAAGGAAUAAUUUAAUGAGCCACUGGGAUUAGAUGAUGGGACACAUUGGGGAGCAUGCCAAGCUUGGUUCUAGAGAGGUGGACUUCAUUUAUUUCAGGAGUUUUGCUUGCUGAAUGGAAUACAUAAGCUUGGGACCAGAAUAACCUGUUCAGAACAGUGAGAACUACAGUCAUACAGUCUAAUAAAUAUUCAAACAUCUGGAGGACUUCAAGGAUAAUAGUCAAUUGUUGAUAUGUGCUUUUAAAGAAGAGAUGACUUCUCCUUUCUAUGAUUAUAAAGACUGUAUAUCUCAACAAUAUAAAAUUCCUGAUUAAUGUCAGCCUUGGUUCUAAAGGAAAUAUAAAUUACAACUCAAGUCCAGUAAGAUUUAUCUAUGUACUUGCUGCCAUAAGACACCAAGCAGGCCCAGAGGUCUGGUGCUGUAUGUCCACAUCGGUUUCCUUCAGACCUUUGCAUAUGUGCUGGUAACAUCAUGAUGUUAAAGACUUACAAACAUGGAAGCUGUGUCAUAAAGAAACAAUUGCUUCCUAUGUUUUCACUCACAGGCCAACUCUGGCUGGACGGUGAUAGAUGCCCUUGGUAUUCUGUGCAGUGAAAGACUCAGGACCAUGCUGGGAUCAUCAGGAAAGAGUGCUGUGAUUGGUGCAGAGCAGUGGUAUAUAUAUUGGCCUUUUGUCCAUAGAGUGCACCCUCAGCUACUGUUCCUUCUUGCUUCCAUUCUAAACUCUCUCUGCUCUUGGACUGGUUUCCUUGAGAACACAUCAUUUGCAUGGCUGUAGGAGGGAAAACAGUUGUUCCUAGUGUCCUCUUGGUUUAAGGUUGAAAUGCUUUGAAAUGACAUCUAGUACUGUUCUUGGAAAAUGCACCUGGGAAGAUUGUUAGAUGUUUGGUGGCUUAUAGUGAUUUUGGAAACUCCUUUGAAAAGCAAUGAUGCUGAAGCAGCUAAAGAUGGAGUGGGUACUUACCUUGUUAUUUUGGCUGUUAUACGCUUUGCUUGUGGAGUUCAUGCACAUAACUUUUGACCUAGGGGUAAAAGAACCAAGACAGAGAUUGGAUAAAUUGCACACGGAGAUUCAUACUAUAUGGUGGUUAUUUUAAAAUAGUUUUAUAUUCUAACGCUAUGUUGUCCACUAUUGUAGCCAUUUGCUACAUGCAGCUAUUUAAAUUAAUUAAAAAAUAAUUUCCUCAGCCAUAUUACCUGUUUUUCAAGUAUUCAGUAAAUGGCUUAGUGGAUACUUAACAGAUAGCAUAUAAAUUUUUGUUGAAUAGUCUUGGUUUAGAAACUUAGCUUAGCAGUCAAGCCAUACCUAGUACUCAGGAAGGAUUUUGGGAGACUUGAAGGUGUCCUUUAAGGGUGAGAGCCUCCAGGUCCCGGUGCCUUGGACACCAGGCCAGCAUGUGUGCCUGCUUACUUAGAGGCUUUAUGCAGUUUGGGUCUCUUUCUCUUCAUCCUAAGAUUCCAAAAUAUUUAAUAAAUAGAGAUACUUCUUGAUUGAAUUAAGAUUUAACUUCUAAAGAGGGUAAAAAAAUUGAAGUUUUUGAUUUAAACUAAAGAAUUUAAGUGUCUCCCAGGUAUCUCAGUGGUUAAGAAUCUGCCUGCCAUUGCAGGAGACAUAGGUUUGAUCCCUGGGCUGGGAAGAUCCCCUGGAGGAGGAAAUGGAAAUCCACUUCAGUAUUCUUGCCUGGGAAAUCCCAUGAACAGAGGAACCUGGAGGGCUACAGUCUAUAGAAUCUCAGAAGAGUCGGACACAACUUAGCGACUAAACAACCACCGCAAAAGAGUUGAACUCUUCUGACAAACUUAAGAUGGCAACACGAUGUUUCACGAUAAAACUGACACAAAAAACAAUGCAAAAUUUGUCUAAGAGAGGUUCAGCAAGCAUGAGAAAAACAUCUGAUAUCUCUCAGAGCCCGCCAAGUUCGCAGGGUACAGUGCCAGAGUAAUUAUGGGAGGAUUUGAGCAGAGGCAAUGCAUGGGGAAGCCACUUCCAAAUGGAUCAGGUAGGUUUCCAGAAGAGGCAAAACAUUCGGCUCUCUUGUUUCUCUGGCGCCCUGACAGAAUCGAUGAGUACAGCCUGAAGCCUCCCAGAAGCCUCAUACAUUACUGAAUCUGUGCUUUACCCCAUGCCGCCUAAUUAAUGGCUCAGUAUUUUAAAAACUCUUUUAUUCAAUUAGACUCUGCUUUCAAUAAGAUAAACACUCCUGCUAUCAGAAUCCUGGGAAACCAACAUUUAUAGUCUGCCUUCUCGCCAAAGCAUCUGUUUUUCUCUUGCCCUUGGUCUCUUAUUCUGUCCAGUUUUCAUUUGGCUGUUUGAUUCUGUAAUGAGUGGCUGGUAUUUGGGGGAAUAACAUGAAGGACGAGGGUGUCCCUGCCAUCCUGUUACUCUGAGGACUGUUUUCCCCUAAACCUCUACAUAAGAACACAAACUAAAGAGAAUCAUUUUACUAUUAUUGGUUACAAAGAGCCGCAGAUGUUAUUUAAAAUGGAGCUUUGACUGGAUUUCAAAUUCAUCCCUGUGACUCACAGUAAUGCCUUUUAUGUGGGUUACCAUUACUGCAUUGUUUGUCAGAUCAGAUUUUUAGGUGAAAUGGUAGAGAGCUCUUUCUUCUUUAACUCUUGUGCCUUUUCAUUUGACUCAGAAUUGUCUCCUAGGGAUAAUUGCAUUCAUGUCUGUUUGGUUAGGUUUUUCUGUAUUAUUACACUUUAUAUAACUUAUAUGAGCGCUAAAUACUGAAAAAAAAAUAGUUUUGAAAAAGCACUUAUGGACUCUGCUGCAAAAUGGCCCUAUGAUGAAACUGUUGGUUUUAAAUCAUUGUUAAUGAGAAUAUAAAAUUGAAAAAUUUCCAGUAAUCUUUGAUGAAAAAUACUGUUUUAAUGAAUGAAUGUAUCCUUUCUGACUGCUGGGUGGUAUAAUAUAUUAAUAAAAUUUAAAACAGAUUUU